AGAGUUUGAUCCUGGCUCAGAUUGAACGCUGGCGGAAUGCUUUACACAUGCAAGUCGAGCGGCAGCGCGGGGCAACCUGGCGGCGAGCGGCGAACGGGUGAGUAAUGCAUCGGAACAUGUCCAUUUGUGGGGGAUAGCCCGGCGAAAGCCGGAUUAAUACCGCAUACGCCCGAGAGGGGAAAGCCGGGGACCGCAAGGCCUGGCGCGAAUGGGUUGGCCGAUGCCCGAUUAGCUAGUUGGUGAGGUAAAGGCUCACCAAGGCGAUGAUCGGUAGCUGGUCUGAGAGGAUGAUCAGCCACACUGGGACUGAGACACGGCCCAGACUCCUACGGGAGGCAGCAGUGGGGAAUUUUGGACAAUGGGGGCAACCCUGAUCCAGCCAUUCCGCGUGAGUGAAGAAGGCCUUCGGGUUGUAAAGCUCUUUUGUCCGGAACGAAACGGGGCGCGUGAAUAUCGCGUCCUACUGACGGUACCGGAAGAAUAAGCACCGGCUAACUACGUGCCAGCAGCCGCGGUAAUACGUAGGGUGCGAGCGUUAAUCGGAAUUACUGGGCGUAAAGCGUGCGCAGGCGGUUUUGUAAGCCAGAUGUGAAAGCCCCGGGCUUAACCUGGGAAUGGCAUUUGGGACUGCAAGGCUUGAGUGCGGCAGAGGAGACUGGAAUUCCUGGUGUAGCAGUGAAAUGCGUAGAUAUCAGGAGGAACACCGAUGGCGAAGGCAGGUCUCUGGGCUGACACUGACGCUCAUGCACGAAAGCGUGGGGAGCAAACAGGAUUAGAUACCCUGGUAGUCCACGCCCUAAACGAUGUCGACUGGUUGUUGGGGGUUUGACACUCUCAGUAACGAAGCUAACGCGUGAAGUCGACCGCCUGGGGAGUACGGCCGCAAGGUUAAAACUCAAAGGAAUUGACGGGGACCCGCACAAGCGGUGGAUUAUGUGGAUUAAUUCGAUGCAACGCGAAAAACCUUACCUACCCUUGACAUGUCCGAGAGCCGAGAGAGAUCACGGUGUGCCCGAAAGGGAAUCGGAACACAGGUGCUGCAUGGCUGUCGUCGGCUCGUGUCGUGAGAUGUUGGGUUAAGUCCCGCAACGAGCGCAACCC
rnacentral:rRNA from 1 species